GAUCCUGGCUCAGAAUGAACGCUGGCGGCAUGCCUAACACAUGCAAGUCGAACGAAGGCUUCGGCCUUAGUGGCGCACGGGUGCGUAACGCGUGGGAAUCUGCCCUCAGGUUCGGAAUAACAGCGAGAAAUUGCUGCUAAUACCGGAUGAUAUCGCGAGACCAAAGAUUUAUCGCCUGAGGAUGAGCCCGCGUAGGAUUAGCUAGUUGGUGUGGUAAAGGCGCACCAAGGCG
rnacentral:rRNA from 1 species